GUUCUCAGGGCGGGGUGUAAUUCCCCACCGGCGGUAAUGUAAGGUUUCGCCCCUACAAAGCCCGCGAGCGCCCCAGCCGUUCCAAGCUGGGGGUCUAGCAGAUCCGGUGUAAUUCCGGAGCCGACGGUCAUAGUCCGGAUGAGAGAGAAC
rnacentral:ncRNA from 1 species